rnacentral:rRNA from 1 species
AGUGGCGGACGGGUGAGUAACGCGUGAGAAUCUGCCUUGGGGUCGGGGACAACCACUGGAAACGGUGGCUAAUACCGGAUAAGCCGAUUGGUGAAAGAUUUAUUGCCCGAAGAGGAGCUCGCGUCUGAUUAGCUAGUUGGUGAGGUAAGAGCUCACCAAGGCAGCGAUCAGUAGCUGGUCUGAGAGGACGAUCAGCCACACUGGGACUGAGACACGGCCCAGACUCCUACGGGAGGCAGCAGUGGGGAAUUUUCCGCAAUGGGCGAAAGCCUGACGGAGCAAGACCGCGUGAGGGAGGAAGGCUCUUGGGUUGUAAACCUCUUUUCUCAGGGAAGAAGCUCUGACGGUACCUGAGGAAUCAGCCUCGGCUAACUCCGUGCCAGCAGCCGCGGUAAUACGGAGGAGGCAAGCGUUAUCCGGAAUUAUUGGGCGUAAAGCGUCCGCGGUGGCGAUUCAAGUCUGCUGUCAAAGCACGGGGCUUAACUCCGUAAAGGCAGUGGAAACUGAAUAGCUAGAGUGCCGUAGGGGUAGAGGGAAUUCCCGGUGUAGCGGUGAAAUGCGUAGAGAUCGGGAAGAACAUCGGUGGCGAAAGCGCUCUACUGGACGGCAACUGACACUCAGGGACGAAAGCUAGGGGAGCGAAUGGGAUUAGAUACCCC